rnacentral:rRNA from 1 species
UUCGCAAUGCCCGAAAGGGUGACGAAGCGACGCCGCGUGCGGGAAGAAGGCCUUCGGGUUGUAAACCGCUGUCGGGAGUUAAGAAAUGUAAGGAUGUUAAUAGCAUCUUUGCUUGACUAAGGCUCCGGAGGAAGCCACGGCUAACUCUGUGCCAGCAGCCGCGGUAAUACAGAGGCGGCAAGCGUUGUUCGGAAUUAUUGGGCGUAAAGAGCACGUAGGCGGCUAUGUAAGUCGGUUGUGAAAGCCUUCCGCUCAACGGGAGAACAGCAUCCGAUACUGCAUGGCUUGAGUGCGGGAGGGGAGAGUGGAACUUCUGGUGGAGCGGUGAAAUGCGUAGAUAUCAGAAGGAACGCCGGCGGCGAAAGCGGCUCUCUGGCCCAUAACUGACGCUGAGUGUGCGAAAGCUAGGGGAGCAAACGGGAUUAGAUACCCCGGUAGUCCUAGCCCUAAACGAUGGGCACUAAGUAGAGGGGUUUU